GAUGAACGCUGGCGGCGUGCCUAAUACAUGCAAGUCGAGCGAACAGACGAGGAGCUUGCUCCUCUGACGUUAGCGGCGGACGGGUGAGUAACACGUGGAUAACCUACCUAUAAGACUGGGAUAACUUCGGGAAACCGGAGCUAAUACCGGAUAAUAUAUUGAACCGCAUGGUUCAAUAGUGAAAGACGGUUUUGCUGUCACUUAUAGAUGGAUCCGCGCCGCAUUAGCUAGUUGGUAAGGUAACGGCUUACCACGGCGACGAUGCGUAGCCGACCUGAGAGGGUGAUCGGCCACACUUGAACUGAGACACGGUCCAGACUCCUACGGGAGGCAGCAGUAGGGAAUCUUCCGCAAAGGGCGAAAGCCUGACGGAGCAACGCCGCGUGAGUGAUGAAGGUCUUCGGAUCGUAAAACUCUGUUAUUAGGGAAGAACAAAUGUGUAAGUAACUAUGCACGUCUUGACGGUACCUAAUCAGAAAGCCACGGCUAACUACGUG
rnacentral:rRNA from 1 species